AGUGAACGCUGGCGGUAGGCCUAACACAUGCAAGUCGAACGGCAGCACAGUAAGAGCUUGCUCUUACGGGUGGCGAGUGGCGGACGGGUGAGGAAUACAUCGGAAUCUACUUUUUCGUGGGGGAUAACGUAGGGAAACUUACGCUAAUACCGCAUACGUCCUACGGGUGAAAGCAGGGGAUCUUCGGACCUUUCGCGAUUGAAUGAGCCGAUGUCGGAUUAGCUAGUUGGCGGGGUAAAGGCCCACCAAGGCGACGAUCCGUAGCUGGUCUGAGAGGAUGAUCAGCCACACUGGAACUGAGACACGGUCCAGACUCCUACGGGAGGCAGCAGUGGGGAAUAUUGGACAAUGGGCGCAAGCCUGAUCCAGCCAUACCGCGUGGGUGAAGAAGGCCUUCGGGUUGUAAAGCCCUUUUGUUGGGAAAGAAAAGCAGCAGGUUAAUACCCCGCUGUUCUGACGGUACCCAAAGAAUAAGCACCGGCUAACUUCGUG
rnacentral:rRNA from 1 species